UGCCUCGUGGCCCAGUUGGUUAAGGCGUGUGACUGUUAUGUAAGCAUGGUCAUUCCUGUUUAGUCAUCACGAGAUCGUGGGUUCGAGUCCCCCCGAGGCAG